rnacentral:rRNA from 1 species
GGAUUAGAUACCCUGGUAGUCCACGCCGUAAACGAUGCUAACUCGUUUUUGGAUUUUCGGAUUCAGAGACCAAGCGAAAGUGAUAAGUUAGCCACCUGGGGAGUACGUCCGCAAGGAUGAAACUCAAAGGAAUUGACGGGGGCCCGCACAAGCGGUGGAUUAUGUGGUUUAAUUCGAUGAUACGCGAGGAACCUUACCAAGACUUAAAUGGGAAUUGACAGGUUUAGAAAUAGACUCUCCUUCGGGCAAUUUUCAAGGUGCUGCAUGGUUGUCGUCAGCUCGUGCCG